rnacentral:rRNA from 1 species
ACUGAACGCUGGCGGCAGGCUUAACACAUGCAAGUCGAGCGGGGUGAUGGUGCUUGCACUAUCACUUAGCGGCGGACGGGUGAGUAAUGCUCAGGAAUCUGCCUAUUAGUGGGGGACAACAUCUCGAAAGGGAUGCUAAUACCGCAUACGUCCUACGGGAGAAAGCAGGGGAUCACUUGUGACCUUGCGCUAAUAGAUGAGCCUAAGUCGGAUUAGCUAGUUGGUGGGGUAAAGGCCUACCAAGGCGACGAUCUGUAGCGGGUCUGAGAGGAUGAUCCGCCACACUGGGACUGAGACACGGCCCAGACUCCUACGGGAGGCAGCAGUGGGGAAUAUUGGACAAUGGGGGGAACCCUGAUCCAGCCAUGCCGCGUGUGUGAAGAAGGCCUUAUGGUUGUAAAGCACUUUAAGCGAGGAGGAGGCUCUUUUGGUUAAUACCCAAGAUGAGUGGACGUUACUCGCAGAAUAAGCACCGGCUAACUCUGUGCCAGCCGCCGCGGUAA